AAACCCUUAGCCAGCGAAAACGAGCUUCUUACCUUUAAAAGCUGCCAAAAAGACCAAAGCACACGCAGAAAAAGAAAAAAAGUAAAGAAUUCACUGAAAAAAUCUCCAUCUUCUUCAUCCUCUGGAGACCCUCAGAGACACCCACAACAACCGAAGCGUGCCCAGAAGGGCACAAAGUUUGUUAGCAUCCAAAGCAAAGACAGGCGAGGCCAAAGAAUAAACGUGUGUGCAGCGGAUUGUGCAGUGCCCUGCAGGUGUCAGAGCUCCGGGAAGAACAAAGCAGGCGAGCUCUCUGCUGAGCUGCGUCUCUCCAGUGCAGCUCCUCCCCGCAUGUGGGCGCCCAUUGCACACUCAGCGCUCGCACAGCUCUCCUCAGCCCUGGAGCUCUUCCCGCCCCGCUCCGCUCGGCGGCCACGCAGGGACCCCUCAGUGCGGCUGUGGGCAGCGGGCGGGGCGGGACUCCCCGGGAGCUGCCCGGGGGGGACUCCUCACUCGCGGCUCGGCGCGGGGACAGCGGAACCUGCUGGAUCUGGGACAGGCAGUCACGAGAGAUAUCUCUGGAGUCUGUGCAGCUCUUGAAACAUGCGGUUUUAUUGCAUAAGGUCCUGAGUGUGUUGCACACUGGCUGAGGGCUCCCUCCUGUGCUCCCUGGCCAUUGGCUGAGCACAUUGCAGGGCCGGCUCUGGUUGUGGCAGCCAGCAGCUCUUUCCUGCUCCAGGCAAGCGGUUCAGGUGCCGUGCCGUGCCCGUGUUGGUGCUGGUUGUGCUCGUGUUGCUGGUGCUGGCUUUGGCGGUGGCCUUGGCUGUGCAGUCAGCCCCACAGCUUCCAGUCACACCUGCAACUCCGCUCUUGGUUCUGGCCUGUCCCUCUGGCUGGGUUGGCUACAAUGGGCUCUGCUACUACUUCUCCAGGGAUUCCAGCACCUGGGAGCAGGGUCAGGAACGGUGCUCCGAGCUCGGGGCCUCCCUGGCCAUUGUCAAGGAUGAGGACGUGGGUUUGCUCUUCCGCCUCCGCGGGAACGUCGAUUACUGGCUCGGGCUGCGCAGACGGGGCCAGCGCCUGCACUGGGGGGACGGCAGCAACUUCAGCUCCUGGGUUCCUGUCCUUGGUGAUUCCGAGUGUGUGUACCUGGCUGACAAUAAAUUUGUGAGUCAGAGCUGCUCCAAUGCGCGGCCGUAUCUGUGCAGCAAGGCCCAAGCUCCCCUGUGACAGGGGCUGCAGAAAGGACCUUCUCCAUGCUGGGCAGUCCCAGCUUCACCUCUCAGCCCGGCACAGGCUGUCCUUGCUCAGCUGCAGCCUGUGCCUUGCCCUCACUCUCAGGGUCACCUCCGUGCCUGUUCCUCGCCACUGCCAAGGCCGGGCUGGGUGUCCAAAGGAAAAGUCUCUGCAAUCCCUCCUGGCCCCGGUGCUGCAUGCAGGGAGGGGAUUGCCCUCAUUACACACUAAGAUCGAUUGGGAACAAUUGCCCUGGGUCUUGGAAAUCAUCCCGAACUUGCCUGAGGGUGAGACUUUUGGAUUGUCUUUGGAAGAAGAAGCAGAGCAGCUGACAUGUGCUGAGGAGGAAUCCCACUUUUGGCAUCAGGCACCUGACUCUGAAGAAUGCUCUGUCAUUUGCUGGUUCUGUCUCUCUCUCAGCUUUGGAUGAGGACUGCUGGAGCUGCUGCCUGGGGAAGGGAAUUUGCUGCCACUGCCAUAACCCAGCCCAGAGCUGCUGCUUCUGCCAUGGGGUGAGCCUCUGCUUGUGAGAGCAGCCAGUGCACUGGGACUUUAUUAUUGUGGGAUUGCAUUUUAUGGAAAUGGUUUGCUGUGGUUCAUCCCUGGAAAAUGUAUGGUUUAUCCCAAGUCUCUACCCUCCCUGCAGUAUCGUGUAUCUGUAACCUCGUUGGCUGGAGAAUGUUACUGCGCCCACCUGGAACCUCUGUGUUAAGGGUGCAAUCAGGGAGGGCUCCUCCUCUUUUGCCUUGGUGCUCUCCACAGCCUGCUCUCUCCCCUUCCCUCUCCCCUUCUCCCUCUCCCUCCUUCCCUUCCCCUCUCCCUCAGUGAAUAAACCCUCAUCUCAUCAGCACCUCAGCAGCCGUCUGAAGUCUCUUUGCCUGCCAGCACGCGAACACCCGCGACCCUCGGACCCGGGGGGCUCCCGGGGAACCCUCCCUGAGAUCCCCCCAAAAUUUAAACUACAUCAAUUAUCACCUACUUCACUAAACUCAGAUCCUAUCACCAUGGUAAAAUGACCCUGUAAUAUUGGCUUUCACAUUUGUGUAUUAGUUUUUACAUGUUGUUAUUGAUUACAAGUACAGCACAAUUUAUAACCCCUUUUAGCUGCCUACUAAUGUAACCUAAUUUGUCAUUUGAACAAUACACCAUAUAGCCCAUAGAAAUAGUACUGUGAUGAAUAUAUGUUGAGGUAUACACCUUAUAGCUUACAGAAAUAAUAGUGUGAUAUAUGAAAUGUAGAGGUCCUUAGUAAAAUAUGAAAUGCUAAAAUACUUGUAUAUGACUGAGAAAACUGUAGAAAGCAAUGAAGUUGUUUCUCA